rnacentral:rRNA from 1 species
GAUGAACGCUGGCGGCGUGCCUAAUACAUGCAAGUCGAGCGAACAGACGAGGAGCUUGCUCCUCUGACGGUAGCGGCGGACGGGUGAGUAACACGUGGAUAACCUACCUAUAAGACUGGGAUAACUUCGGGAAACCGGAGCUAAUACCGGAUAAUAUAUUGAACCGCAUGGUUCAAUAGUGAAAGACGGUUUUGCUGUCACUUAUAGAUGGAUCCGCGCCGCAUUAGCUAGUUGGUAAGGUAACGGCUUACCAAGGCAACGAUGCGUAGCCGACCUGAGAGGGUGACCGGCCACACUGGAACUGAGACACGGUCCAGACUCCUACGGGAGGCAGCAGUAGGGAAUCUUCCGCAAUGGGCGAAAGCUUGACGGAGCAACGCCGCGUGAGUGAUGAAGGUCUUCGGAUCGUAAAACUCUGUUAUUAGGGAAGAACAAAUGUGUAAGUAACUAUGCACGUCUUGACGGUACCUAAUCAGAAAGCCACGGCUAACUACGUG